AUGGCCUCUCAGCCUCUUGGCUAAGGUCAAGUGUGGUAUCUCUUCUUACCAGUUUAAUAUCUGAUACGUCCUCUAUCGGAGAACAAUAUAUUAGGUGGAUUUUUAGAAUUAGGAGGUGGAAGAGGGGCUUGCUCUGCCCACCCCAUGCACUGAUCUGGUAUUGCGGUACUUCCGGGAACAGUGUACAAAGG